CAACUACGCACUGGCUGCAUAAACCCAGCCUGCUCUCUACCGGUUGAGCCUGCGCUUCCGAUUAGAGAUCAUUAAGUAGGAUCGCGGUCUGUCGAGUUUCGGGGCAGGCUGUUAAAUCAAACCGCAACUGGUCAACAGGUAUGCCCUGCCCCUCGGGCGGCCUGUUGAUAAGAAAAAAUCGAGCGGGCUAAGCAUGUAGAACCGAGAUCAGAUGGUUUGCGGACGCGGGUUCGACUCCCGCCGCCUCCACCA
rnacentral:tmRNA from 1 species